UGAUUACUCCGCCCUCUGCUUCACACCAUGUAUACUGUUCCAUGCCAUGUCAUAGUUCAUGCUGCUCCUUUCACGCCACAGUCCGCAAGGAGCAAGCAGGCCAACUGGACGUAGGACAGGCCUGGGCAAUUAUUUUGACUUGGGGGCCACAUUUAGAGCAUUCUUCGAGUUUUGCUAGCAACGGACAAGCGGCGCGUGAUUUGAAACAGUCUGGAAGUAUCCACAGCGUCGUCGACACUGCCCCCUGCCGCCCCUUCCGCAGCACAUAAAUAUUAACCAACGAGAUUCCGGGGAUUGAAGUGUGCAAGGUCAGACAGAACUUUGAUGGAGUUGCGCAGUGUAAACACUGUGAAUGUAGGCCGAGGGCACAUAGGCUCUGAUUUAAAGCAAACACCCAAAGACGGAGAAGGAAGGAGGAAAGUUUCUUGCAUGUGAAGACUUGAGUAUAAGUGAGUGGGCUGCUAGAGUCUGCAUGGAGCUGCAGUCCUUGUUGUGCUAGUCUGUGUACUCAAGAGCAAAACAAAACACUUUAGUGCAGAUGGCUCAGUUUUCAUGCUAGAAUUGUUUUGUCAGGGACUUGCAGUAAAGAGAAAAUGCAUAAAGUGAGGGCAGCUUUUGUGACCUGUAACCUGACAU